AUUGAACGCUGGCGGAACGCUUUACACAUGCAAGUCGAACGGCAGCACGGACUUCGGUCUGGUGGCGGGUGGCGAACGGGUGAGUAAUGUAUCGGAACGUGCCCAGUCGUGGGGGAUAACGUAGUGAAAAUUACGCUAAUACCGCAUACGAUCUAUGGAUGAAAGCGGGGGAUCGCAAGACCUCGCGCGAUUGGAGCGGCCGAUAUCAGAUUAGGUAGUUGGUGGGGUAAAGGCCCACCAAGCCAACGAUCUGUAGCUGGUCUGAGAGGACGACCAGCCACACUGGAACUGAGACACGGUCCAGACUCCUACGGGAGGCAGCAGUGGGAAUUUUGGACAAUGGGCGAAAGCCUGAUCCAGCCAUUCCGCGUGCAGGAUGAAGGCCCUCGGGUUGUAAACUGCUUUUGUACAGAACGAAAAGGUUUCUACUAAUACUAGGAGCUCAUGACGGUACUGUAAGAAUAAGCACCGGCUAACUACGUGCCAGCCGCCGCGGUAA
rnacentral:rRNA from 1 species